UCCACCACAGGAUGUGACUCAAGGCUGUUUGGGCUGCAAUCCAUUUAUUUUCAGCUCAUGAGGGGCAUGGGGGUGACCAGGAUCCCGUUGCUGGUGCCACAGGGACAGCACCCUGAGAGGGAAUUCGUGCUGUUCGUGUCUCCCCAGCUGCUGCUGCAACACAGGCUGGAGGAAGUCAUCACCACAUGGGUCCGAGCUAAUGUGGGUUAUCAUCCAGCAAAGAGAGAGACCUUUUAGCUGUCGCUGGGUUUCCAACCAAUUAAUAAGGAGUCUUUAGUUUCAUUUCAUGUCUGCAGGAGUGUAUCUGGAGUGCCUUCAAGCCUCCCCAUCUUCUUUCCAACAGGAAUUGUUGCAGCCUGGUUCAUUUUCCAGGCUGAUGCCAUGCUCCAGCUAAAAAAUCAAACCUGCCAGAGGUCAGACCCUUGUUGUGGCCAUUCCAGCUGACAGAAAAUUCUGGAAUAUUCACUGUAUUUUCUCUUCCAAAAAACACAAGGUGAACUGACCACCAAGGGUGCAAAGGAUGGAAAAUGAGAUCCAGAGCUUUUUGAGUGAGACUAACAAAAAUUGAUUUACCUCCUUUCAUUUAACCGUGAGUGGAUCCUCCACAUCUUUGGAGAAAUAUUGGGCUCUUCAGACCUUUUCAAGUAUAAUGACAUCUGAAAUGCACAUGCUUUACCAGAGCUAUUGAACUGGACUGUGAAAUAAUCUUUGAAACACGUCAAUAUGGCAAAACACACAGAGGGGGCAUGAUUUGCUGAGGCCAUAAUUAAACAUUGAAUUUGCCUCUCCUCUGGGCUCUGCUGUGUUCCCAUCAGCCUCCUCUACAGCAAAUUGUUGUAACCUAAUGUCCUGUGUGUUUGGAUUUUGUUAAUUUAUUUCCUGCACCUCAUUUUCCUGGAAUGAGAGUGGUUAUUUAUGGCACAGCAGCAAACACU